UAAAACUUUUACCUUACAGAGUGUACUAUAAUAAAUAUAAAGAUUGCUUGUAUUUUAUUUACCUAAGUGUAUACUUUUAGCAACAAAAUUUAAAUCUAGAUUGUAAUUUUUUUUUCCUUUUUUAAAAAAAUACUCUCGAAUAUCCAUUUAGAUGCAUUAUAAACUAACAACUAAUAAUAAAAGUAGAAAAGUUUAUAAUUCACCAGCACAUUCAACCAUAUACAAUUUACAUUUAGAUUUUUUUUUUUAAAUGCCAAAUUAGUGAUUAAUUAAAUAAAAGUGCAUAGGUCACAAAUAUCACAAAAGUAAAGGAGCAUAUCAGGAUGAGAGAUCAUAAAAGGUGAGAUAUCAAUUUUAAGUUUAAAAAAAAGUAUUGAUUAUUUUGAUUUAGUUAAAAAUAUUUAAUUGGAUCCGUAUCAGACCCACAUACAGUGCAAUUAAUACAAAGAAGAUUCACUUGUAAGAAAAAUAUUCAUAGUGUAAUUAAUACAGAGAUAUGCUGUGUUUUCGUAGUUAUUGUAGUAUAAUUAAUGCAAAGAUAUAUUGGAUUUUCCUAGUUUUAUUCAUUUACUCGUCACACAAACAUUUCCAAAAGAUAAAAUUAAACUUCUAAUUAAAAUAAUGUGGAAAUUAUUCUUUCACUUUUACAUAUAAGAUAAAAGUAUUUAAUUAAUUAUUAUUAUUUAUAAAUAAAUAAAUAAAUAAUUUAAAUAUCUAUUAUGUAAGAAAAUUUUAAAUUGAAAAAGACAUAAAUACUGUUUUUAUGGUCAACACUGAUAACUAUAAAUGAAUAUAUAUAUAUAUAUAUAUAUAUAUAUAUAUAUAUAGCAAAAAAUAAUAUUUUAAAUAUUAAUUUGUUGUUGAUUAAAUAAUGAGUCAUUUCUAUAUGCAGGGAUGUUAAAUAUUGCCCAAUGUAUCCACUGACUUAAUUUUUCAUAUGUUAUUUUUUUCAAAAUAUUAAUUAUAAUUAUUGAAUACAUUGCUUAAGAUGUAAGGGUAUAUGUCAUAGAGGUAAUAAUUUUCCGUAGAAUACGACUCACUCACUGUUUAUCCAAUAAUUAAUAUUUUCAUGCGUAAUCUCAUUAAUUGUUUUAAUAUUAAAAAUUUGAAAAAAUUAGGGUAAAUUAUAUGUUUGGUCCUCAAACUAUAAGGUAAAUGACACUUUAGUCUUUAAAUUUUAAUUUAUUAUACUUUCUAUCUUAAACAUUUAGAAUUAUUACAAUCAAAACUUAAAAUCAAAUUUAGUUGACUAAAUAUUAAUAUAUCACUAAUAUAGAGUGAUAUAGUAGUAUUGUAAUUAAUGAUGUGUUAAUAAUUCAGAUGCUACAUUACUUUUAUAUCAGCUUGGAUAUUUGAUUAUUAUAGUUCUAAAAGUUCGAACAAGUUUAUAAUAAUUCAAACUUUCAAGAGUAAAAUGUCUUCUGCCUCAUAAUUUGAGGACGCACAAUUUAAAUUCUUAUAUAUGUAUAAAUGUGGAAGAUUUAAACCUCACUUUUCGGCGCAAAUAUAACAUUUUUCGGAAUAAAACUUCAAUAGGGAUGUCUCCCACUACGUUGAUUUGCUUCUAUGUGUUAAUUUUUGUCUCUGCCUAGUAAUUCAUUCAGUAUCUUUUAAUAUUAAAAUUUUCAAUUUUUAAGAGAAUAAUUAUAAUUUUAAAUAGAAACAAAAGUGACACAUGAUGAAGACCGAAGAUUUCUUAUUGAGUAAACUUAAAAUACCACAUCUAUGAUUUCACACUUUUUUACUUUAGUACCAUAUAGUUUAAAAUAUAUUUAUUUAUAUAUUGUGGUUUUAUUUUUCUCUUUUCGUCGACACCUCCGUUAACUUAAAUCAUAUAUUAAAAAAUCUCCAGAUAUCCACCUAUGGUUUAUUGAAUAUCUAUUUUAAUAUUCUGUACUUUGUCAAAUUUUUAGAUUUUAACUAAAAAAUUAACGAAAGAAUAACAAAAAAAAUAAAAACCUCGGGAUAUUAAAAUGAUACAUUUUAAAUUAAUAAUAUUAAAGUAAAAAAAAGCACAAAAUUACGUAUAUAGUAUUUGAAGUUUUUCCGUUCCGAUUUUUCCUAACGCAGCGGCGUCUUUCCAAAACUUCCUUCCCUUUUUUUUUUUUUUUUUUUUUUUUUCUUUCAUUUUUCCUUUCCUAUUUUUUGUCGCUAAACUCCCUCCUGAGUUGUUUUUUCGACUCGGAGCGAUCCGAUUCUGUGUUAUAACUCGGACAAAACCUUGUCCGUAACCGUAAACCCCAAAUACGAACACGCGCCCCGCGCGCCGGUCAUCGGUGGACAGUGGUGGUGUGGGGGAUGUGGCGCGUCGGACGCUCCCCUCUCGCCGGGUUUCCUCCGAAUCCGACAACGCCUCCUUACGCGCAAGAAACCAAAAACUUUACUCCACUUCAUUAAAACCUCUCUCUCUUUCUCUCUCUCUCUCUCUCUCAGUAUAAGUGCCUUCUCUCUCUCUCUCUCUCGUAUGAGCUGUCGAUCGAUCUCUCACUCCCCCCUCCUCCGAGGUCGAGUUCCGAGGCGGAGGCGUCGCCGGAGGCUGGUUCUUCGAUCUCGAUCAUGGCCUCGUUUCCCGGGAACUGGAGGGCCGGGCUGACCCUGCAGGGCAGGCAGAGGAUCGUCAACGAGAUGUACGAUUUGACUGACUGACUGACUGAUUGAUUGAUUGAUUGAUGUAACUGUUUAAGACUAUUUCUGAAUCGUUUUUUAUUUAGUUCCGUACAUUUUUUCAAAAUGAUGACUAGUAUUUUCGUACUUUUUUUUCCGUUUAGUACAAGCGGUAUAAUUUAUCUGAUUUUUUUUAUCAUGCACAUGAAUGAGGGUGGUACGACCUAAUUUUGGGUGAAUUUUUUUACUACAUUGGUCUCAGUUCUAUCGGGUCGUGGGUUCGGUCCUCAAAAUCGAUCCUUUACGUGUUUUGUGACCUCAUUUGAAAGUGCAUGCAGCACGGCUCGCUUGAGCAGGUGUGAUUGAGGGGUGUUAAUACUUGUAAGCCGUUUCUUGUCAAAUUGAUCUCACGUAAAAGUGGUCAUCCAUUCAAUGCCUCACAUCCACCAUCCUAAUGGGUUUAAUUUUUGUCCUUCUAUCUAUUCUAUUAUCUCUUCUUCGGUCAGUUCAAGUGGUGUGGUUUGUUUGAACUUUUCGGUAUCUUUUUUACCGGUGCUUUUGGCAUGAUUUACCUGAUCUCCAUGAUACACGUAAGUCGGGGUGUAGUUGUUGUGUCAAGUGAUUGGGUCAAUUUGUAUAGUUACAGUAGUUAAUUCCUGGUUUGAUUUAACUUUUUUUCGAUUGUUUCUUUUGAUGUGUUUGUGAAUUGUGUGCAGAUUUACUUACAUCUCUUCUUUAUUUAUGGAAAUUGUGUUUGGUUUGGUAUUCGGUGAUGUGUGAAUUGGAUUGAUCCUGCAAUUUAUUGUUUGUGUGCGAAAUUUUCGUGAGAGCUGAUGUAUAAUUAGUAAGUUCCUGUCCACCGAAUUUUCUAGGGUAGUUUUUAGUACUGAAGCAAAUAGUGUGUUUGCAAUUUUACUAUUCAGAUUUAGUUAUGCUGCAGAGUUAUGAUACUACAUUGCUGAAAAAAGAUAGAUCUGUACUAAGAUAGAUGUUAAAGUACUUUUUGAAGAUCAUGUUUGGGAAAAAUGGAAAAUCGGUUUCCUGGGUUGUAGUUUGCCGUUGCGGGAGUGAAUUAAUCGACAUUGCAUAAGGAGGAGGAAUUUCUUUAUGUUUCAGAUAUUUCCUGAUGCUGGAAUUGUCGAUUAAUGUCCUUCGAACAAAUUACAUGCUUUUCGGUCCCCUUUAAUUAGCAUUUCUUUGUAAUCCUCUGCUGAAAGAAAGUUUCCUAUUGAUAGCAUGGGCCUAUAAAUUUUAUUUUUCUCUACUUCUAUAAAUUUAUGUUUCUUAAUAAUGUGAUAAGCCUAGAAGAGUACACAUUCUUUGUUGUUUGUGAUAAUCUUACCAUUAUUUAUUCUGUUUUUAAGCAUGUGUGCAUGUACAUAGCAUGUAUGCUGAUUUGUGCCGAAAUAAGCAAAUAGUGGCUGACCUGUUGUUGCAUGUAUAGAUUUCAAACUAUAAGGUUAAGGAUGGGACCAGAGCAACCAAAUGCGGUACUACUUGAUCUUGCUGCAAGAUGCGAGGAGAUGGUUUAUGCUUCUGCGACUGACCUGGUACUUUCCUUCUUUUGAUUUUGUUUUUUCCUUUUUUCUGCUGGUUGUUGAAAUUUAAUUAUACUUCAGUUCAAUUUUAUGUCCAUUGAUCUUUUGACGACGAGGAAUACGGCUCUGCUUGCGUGUUGGCUUUUGUCUGUUUAAUAAUUGAACUUUGUUUUCUAAUUCCUCCAUAAUAUUGUAAGGAUGCAGGUAAUUCUUUCGGGUCUGGUGGUUAAACUCUACAUAUAUGAAGUUCGUCCCUUUUUUUCUUUUUCAGAUUUGAACUAUUUCUAGCUAAAUAACUGUUACAGGUGAUUGAUUUUUGGAGUCUGCAACCAAUUAACAUUUGAAGACCUUAGUAUUUCUGCAGAAUUUUUAUGCUAUGUGGAAAUACAAUUAUUGCAGAUUCACGUGACCUACGUGGGUAGAGUAAGGCUUAUUUUUCCAGGCCUUGUAAAAGCAUUUGAAGCAAAUUAAACAAUGUUUUCCUGCUGUACAUGGUUUAUUUGUUUUUAAAUCACACAAUCAUCAUAUGUUAUUUGUAAUGUAUGUGCAUUGAGUAAGCAAACCUGUUUCCAAAGUUUUCCUCUAAUUUUCAGAAAAUUAUUGUUUUUUUAUCUCCAUUUAUAACUGUACCCAUCGGUUAUCUCCUACAAAUUUCAUUUGUUCUUUUCUCUCUGUGGUAGCUGUAAUUUGGGGUUGGGGUUGAUCGAGAUGCCAUAUGAGCUAAUAUUUCUAUUUCUCAUUGGCUUUUGACUCGGUCGACCAACCUUUGCCUAAGCUGAUGCUUUAGACAAGAAUCAAAUUCUUUAUUUAUUUCCCUUUCUAUAUGGUGUUUGUUUACACCAUCUAUGUGUGUAAAAAUAUGUGCUAUGAUUGUUGGAAUGUAAGAGAAACACCCAGUGUAGAUUGAGUUGGUGGCUACAAAGGAAACAGUAUAGGUUUUGGCCUGCAUUAAUAGCAGUGGGGGCACAAGUUCAAAGUAGGGAACAACCUCUUUGACUGUUGUUUGACUUGUGUUUCUUCUCCUCUCCAUAUGCUGCAUUGAUAGGAGAUCUUUUACUAGGAUGUUUUUUUUAAGGAAAGUCAAGAUAUAGUUAAGACGCAAAGAAUCUUCCAUUUAGAGAAUUCUAAAUUGAAGUGUAGAAGUUCUGUUGUAGUUUAAGUGCCAUUCUUACCUUCUAGAAGAUAAAAUCUGCUUAGUGGUAAAUGUCUAGGAAAUUCUAUAACUUAUUAAUGUCAAUAAAGAUGUUUAUGGUGUGUAAUUGCUCUGUCUCCUUCUGUGUUUGGAUUCACUGGGUUGAAAAGAGUCCCAAUUUGCUGAAUUUUCUUACCAUAUAUGUGGAGAUAUUUUAUGUCUUUAGUAUGUAUUGAGGUCUACUAAAACCUAUUCAUGUUGACACAUGAUCCAAAUUCCAAGAUGUUGUUCUUUCUUCUCAUUAGUUAUAAGAAUAAUUUGUGCCCUCAACAUAAAGACUGUAUUAGGUUUUAGAUUCAAGAAAAACAUGUAACUUGUAUUAUAUUUAUAAACACAUAUCUGACGGGAAAAUGUACUGAUUUCUUUCUACUAUAGAAGGGAGUGGCUAUUAUCUCGUAUUGUUUGCGUUUAAGUCUAUCAGAUUAUACAAAAAGCUAUGUACACUGAACUAAGAUGUAAUCACAACCAAAUUCUUUACUCGGAAAUAUGGUUCAACAUUGGGUUUGACUUUUAACAACAAUUUUUGCACAUGGUUCAAAAUUUCAUAUGGCUAGACUUUUCAUGGUCAUUGCAAAUUUAAAAAAUAUAUUCGGAUAAUUAAAAAAUGAAAAUAAAGGAUACCAACGUACUGUGAAGUGUGAACUACAUCAUGAACAUAUUCGCUUCAAGCUCAAGUACAUGAAGGAAGGGCCUAUUUUGCUAGAAUUGGCGAGCAGGGAGGUCCAGAGCUCUUGUCAUACUUCUGUUCUUGACUUCGCCUUAUUAGGGGACAAAGUCACAACAUCUCGUUGCUCAUGAAGUCACAGUUAGUGCUCACAGUUUGCAUGCCUCCAAUUGUCCCCAUCUCAAAUCUCUAGCUAUGCCAGUCGCCACCAGACACCCACGCUUGCAAAUCAACAGGGUGAGCUUGUUCUGUAUUGGAGAUCAGGAGAAACAAACAUGCCUGAAAUUCUUGCAUUUAGGUGUGAGCGACGUCGGGAGAUGGAAGAGAGCUCUUAGUUUUUCAAAUAAUAAUAACAAAAAAAAAGAGAACAAUAUAUUACAUCACAAACAUCUUGUAUACAAGCUCAAGCAUACGAAGGAACAUGUUGCAUUCAAUUAUGGGAGACUUAUAGAAAUUGGAAAAGAGCUCCUCAUCUUAGGAGGCGUCGAUUUAUCUAUUAGCAGAAAGCUCGGGAAGCUUUUUCUUUUUCUUUUUCUUUUUUUUGGGGGUGAGGAUUAACUAUUGUAUGAUCAACAACAUUUUUAUCGUCCUCUUACAAGUAUAAGAGAUUGUUGUUGGUGCGGAUCAAUGCAAUUGUCCAUUUUAAGUUUGCUACUACAUAGAUGCACAAAUAUGCAAAAAAAUAUGACAUAAGUAUAAUCAAGUAAUAGCUCUUUAAUUUAAACUAGGAAUAUUCUUAUGAUACUACGAGCUUCAAGUAAACCUUACAUGAGGCUAUUAAAUGACUUUGUGUUGCAACACCGUUACGAUAAUCGUCAAAAUAAUCAAGGCGGCUUGUAUAGAUAGUAAUUGAAUUACCAUAGUUGCAACCAUUUAUUACUUUAGAAGUACUUCGGUACAUAUUGUGCCAAACAGUUGAUAGACAAUAAAUUUUUAAAUUUUGGCGUGUGACUUGGUCACUAUGAUGCGCUGUGGUCGUCCGUAGUGUGGGAGUUGUUUGGUGUCGUUGGAUGUGCGGGAAUUAAUGACAAAGGUGAAGAAAUUGGACCAAAGUAUCACUUUUUUUACUUGAGCACUGGGGCGUAGAAGGCUCUCUCUUCUAAGCUUGGUUUCAGUUUGAUUUGAGCUGAGAGAGGCUAAGCUCAAGUUUGGCUCGCCGCAUAAAUUGAGCCAACUCAAGCUUGGAUCCUUGGUUGAGCCAAAUUAUUUAAGUCAUAUUGUAAGCUUAAUAUCAUGGUGAGGUAUUUAUGAGAGCAAACAAAUAAAGAACUCAAAGUUCAGCUAAUUAGUUAUGCUACUUUGGUUUUCCUAUAAAGAAGGCUUGUCAAUAUCGACAAUUUGCUUCGACAAAAACAACACUAUACUUCUAAACCUCUUAUAUUGUCUUUCUUUAAUUAAAAAAUUUUUACGAAUGAAUAUCCUAUUGUUAAUUGUUCAGAGUUGCUUGCAUACGAUGGGGGUCAAGCUGUUGAGUUCUGAAGGGGCAAGCUAGUGUUCUGCUGCAUCGGUUCGAGGAUUUUGCGAACUGCAGAGGGCUUGAAUCUCUUUAAAGAGAGCGAGAUUUCCGUGCCUCAGCUUGAUUGACUUGAUCGAUACUUUUUUGUCAUUCUUUUGUUGCCUAAUCUCUAUUCUGUGUACUUGCACCAUCAUAAUAAAUGUUAUUCUUGAACUAUACGUCCAUAUGGGCCAUUCCUUAAUAGGAUCCAACAAACUUAACCUAUUUUCAACCACUUGUAUUAGAUUCACAAUAUUGGAAUGGAAAUGUUCUAGUAUAGUUCGUGAAUCAUACAAUAUGUAGGGAAUUAGUAGCGGUGGUUGUGGGUUCUUGGAGUUUGAAGGAGAGUCCACAUAGGUAAGAAAGGCAUGAAAUGGUGGGUCCUAUGCAAUUAACAAUGUCGAUGGAUUGAUGAACCAAUAGAAUGAGGCUUAGUGGCUAGCAGAUUAUCAGACCAGUAUACUUAUUGCAAAUGUGGUUUAUAUUGAUUUUGCGAGCUUAUUGUCAGCAUGCAGUGAGGGCAAGGUUUUAAGUGCCCGUUGGUAUGGGCCAUAUCUACCGUGCCGUACCGUGCCAACAAGAUACCGACACGAUACAGACCCCGUUCCGAUGGCACAGCUUAAAACCCUCUAUUAUUUAAAUUAGUAAGUAAUUUCCUCAAUGAAGUUCAAAAAAUGUGAUAAAAAGAUAUAAUAAAUAGUUAGAAUAUUUUGUUGCUAAAGAAAAUAAAUAUUUCAUGCUAUUAUGUGUCGGCACAUAAGAAUUUUUUUGACCGGCACGCAUCGGCAUGGCUCGGCACGCACCUUGAGUACCGUGCCGGCAAGUUUCCGGCACGACCCUGUACCACGGCACUUAAAUCCUUGAGUGAGGGCAUAUGAGGUGAGGGCAAUGAGCUUGGCAGACUCAGUUGGGUCAUCUUCAAGUUGGAGCGCGAGCAUACAUAGUAAAGGGAUUCUAGGACUAUGGGGAAAAAUUAAGGUUAUACCUUAUAUAGAGAGAAUUAUAGACAUUCAUAAUUUUUCUAUAUCAUUUAAUCAUACUAGUAUAGGUGCACAUGCAAUGUACGACUGGCAUAAAAAAAUGUAUAAUAAAAUACUAAACAUACUACAAACUAAAUUACAGGUACAUUUAGAGAGAGAGAUGAGUGAAAGAGAUAACAAGAGAGGAUGAGGUAGUAAAGUUGAAAAAAAAAAUAUUUACUCAUCAAAGUAAAAAAGAUAUAUGUCAAGAAAUCUUAUGUUGACGAGUAGAUGAUGAUGCGGGGGAGGGAGAGGAUGUUGGUUCUAUUAACACAUACCUGUUGGAAGCCAUAAGAGAGGAUCGUAUGUAGAGAGGUUCAUAUGUAGGGAGAAUCUAAGUCUUAGUUUGUUUUGGAGAUGGCUUGUUGUCCAGCUGGCUUUGCUCUUUAAGUCUUAAUAUGGCAUAUGAGCUUGGAUAUGGAUAUCGCAGUAUUUUGGACAAGCUGAUACGGAAAUUUUGGAAAUGUAAAUCUCUUUUCUAAAGUUGGAGGAUUUGAAAAUUGAAGUGAUCGUCAUUUUCACCCUUUUUUUUUCUUUUACUCGGCCAUUAGGUGAUCAUUAGUAAUCUGGUAAUAUGCUUUUAACGGCAACUUAAUUUGGCUCUAUGUUUUUGUUUUGUACUAACUACUUGGGCAGCAUAAAAAUUCAAGUAAAUUGCUUAUCUGGUUAGAUUUAGAGGUUUAGAGUUGGCCUCUGUAAGUUCCUUUAGGACUUGAACAACUCGUCUAGAAAAUGUGAUAGAAUCAUAUUAUCAAAUAGUGUACUUUCCUUAGAGCAUCAUAGGAUCUAAGGUCCUUCGAAUGUGACACCAUUCACCUGUUGUUAUUGCUUUAGUUUUUCUUUUAUGGAAAGCUGCAGAGUAAUCUGAUAAUAUGGAUCUUUCACUUCAUGCUGAGAUAAGAAUAACUUGUUUUUUGUUGAGCUAUUGAGGAUGGUAAUAUAUUUAGCAUUGCAACAUCUGCUUUCCAAAUCGAGGAUCUAUCAUCUUAUGUACCUUUGUACAGCUUUUUGACUGUUUCAUACUCAUAUUUGGAAAGAUUUAUCUCAUUUGGCUGGAUGAGCCAUCAAAUAUAUGAUUGCUUUUCCAAACUAGGAAGUUAUGCAGUGACUAUCUGACAUGACAUGUCGUCGUAUAUUAAACAUCUUCUGUUUCAGUGUCGAAAUCCUUCACUUCUACAGGGGUAUUUGUCUGUAUUUUCUAAUGUCAGAAUGCAUAUGCUCCUUUGUUCUUAACAAUGCCCUAGAAUUAUACUGGUUAUUAUAUGUUCCUUUAUCUUGUAUAUCUUCUUCCACUUGAGAGUUUGCCUACUUUUGUGUAAAUUUUUGGCUUGAAUAUUGCAGCUUAUUUGCAUUCUUAAUGGUGGCAGAUAAAUGUGUGCUUUCAAUUUUGUCUCAUGAACCGUGCUUUUUAUAUUUGUGACUUUGGUAUGAUUGUGAUUCCUGGAUUUCUCCUUCGACAUGGCACUGACCUGCUUUUAUUUUUUCGGUGGUCUUUUUCAGAAUGAUUAUGUGAGAAAAAUUGCCCUUAAGCUGCUGACAGUGGAGGCCCGUAUCCCCGGUAAACUCAAUUCUCUGGACCAACAUAUUAGUAGUUUUUUAUGCUUCUUUUGCAAAUGCGUCAGAAUAAAGCUACAAUAAGUUAUGUUGUGACAGAAACAGAAACUGUGAAACCAUAGACCCUUUUGGGAAGGAAAUGGAAUAUCAAUUCUCUUGGAUGGUUCCUGGCUUGCAGCAAAUUCUUUUUAUCCCAAAACUGUUCCGUAAAUGACCACUUGGCAAAUUUAUCACACUUUUUAUUACCUAAUUCCCCUUAAUACCAUAUAUUCAGCAGCUGGUCUAUCUAGAUAUGAAACCAUUAUUAUCCUGAUAAUAAUCUCUUUACUGAGUCAGCUAGGAAUUCCACUCCACCUCUACCUCCUCGUACUCCGCCUCUUUCUCCUCGCCGUACUGUCCCUCACGAUGAGGAAGAAGAAGAACAGGAUUUUGAGGGUGGCAAUGCCAAUAUCGCUUCAACCAGGUACUUAAUUUCUUUCUUCUCUUUCUUGUAGAUCGAUACAAAUUUAGUCCCAGGAAGUUUGACCACACUCAUAGCUAAAUCCUCCUUGUUCUGCAUAACAGUUGAGUGCUUAUGUGAGUUUGUUGGUGUAGAGAAUAACGCAAGGCAACAUAUCGCCUGAAGCUGUCUUGUGUUUGUUGAGUCUCAAAAUUUGCCAAUUUUCUAUUCUCCGCAGUUGUUACUCACGUAAAUUUAACAUCAUACAUGUACUGAGUAAUCCUUAUUCUGUAACUCUUUUCUGAGUUGUAUUCUUGAAGUCCUUGGAAUAUUAAAGAGAAGGAAAGGAAGUAAACCAAAUUUGUCCAUAAAAGAAAAGCUUCAUGUUGCUAAAAUCUCCUCUUCACUUACAAUAUUCUUCUUCUCGCGCUUAACCGUCCUUUAUAUUUUUAUUAUUCUUGCAGUGUGAAUAAUAACAAUAUCAAGAUUUGAAGCCGAUGCGCUUCUGAUCUUUGCGUGGGAGGGUGGAGGAGUUUAGUCGGUAGAAGGCCAGCUUUGGGUAUACAGGGUCUUGCUACCAGUACUAGCCUUAAUAAAUGGUAAUUUGCUUCUUUAAGUCGUACAUUUUAUGGAUCUAUGCACCAUAUAUUAUCAUACUGCUUAACUAUAUUAUGACAAUCUUCUAUCAGUUGUUCUAGUUCUUAUGGUUUUGGCUUGUUUUUCUGCUUCAUCUGAGCUAAGUUCAUUGCUUGGGUGACACAUGAAACUUUGCGAAAGUUAAGGGGGUGUUUGAAUUAAGAAUUAAUGUAAUUUCUAGUUUGGCCAUAAGUUAGAACUAUAUAGAGCAGAAAUAUUUGUUUAGUCAUUAAUCGUAACUGAGCCACGGAGAAACACUUAAAACCUAUAUCCCCUCAGGAUGGUCCAAAGCCGUCUUUCGUUGAAAGAUCCAAAAUGUAACCUGUAACAAGUGGUAGAUCACCCAAUUUUACCAUGAUUGACGGCGGGAUAAAAGUUUCUACUAUUACUUAGCUUAUUUUAUGGCUGAAUUUUUAAGUUCUCCUGGUGAAGUAAUGAAUAGUUCAAAUAAAGGAGCUAGGCUCCUAUACUUUUAAAAAUACGGAGGUUUUCAUGCUUGUAAGUUAUUUUCGAUAAUGAAACACUCGAUUUAGCUAUCGGUUCCAUUAGACAUGAUUUAUAUUAUUAGAACUAUCUAGAAAUCAAAUUUCAUAAUUUUUUUACUUCAUUUGUUUAGUGGACGAGUAGCCUUCAAAUGAACAGUUAAAAAUAAAAACUUAUAAAAAAUAAUGAUAAAAGACUUAAAUUUCAAAUCAGAAGUAUUUAUUUACUAUUGAUAUUAUGCAAAAAUUUUUAUUAAAAUUUUAUAUAAUUUGGAUUAUUCUAUAUCAUUAAACUUAAAAACGUGCCAUAUCGACCGUUAAAAUAGUCAUUUUUGAGAUCUUUUGAUCACUUAGUAAAUAAUGUCGAAAAAUUAUGCAAUUUGGUUUCUAGUAGUUCCAAUAAUGUAGAUUACUAUGCCUAACGGAGUUAAUCGUCGAAUUUGAUAUCUUAUCAUCAAAACUAACUUAUAAGCACGGAAGCAUCCGUACUUUCUAAAGCGAAAAAAGAACUGAAUUGUCAGAAUUAUGUGUGAUAAAUUAAAAGGGCACAGUUUGCAUACAAUUUUUACACCUGCAGCAGGUGAUUUCUUAUUGCGGCAAUAGUUUUUUUUUGCUCCCUCUAAUUAUGCUGCAUUUGUGGCUGGAGAGAAUGCAGUCUCUCUCCCAUAUGUGAAAUAAUAUCAAAUUUUUAUCCGGUAAAAAUAUAUAAAAUUUAUCUGAUCUAUGAAUAUUUUGAAUGAGCUAUCCAAUCAUUCAAAAUUUUGAUUUUACUAUCCAAACUAUCAAUUUAUUUGAUUUGAGUCAGGCAACAACACUUCAAAAUUUAAGCUAAUUAUUUAUUUUAAUAAAUUUUAUAGUUACAAAAAUGGCAUGAAAUAUACUAAUCAAACCUGUAAAAAUAAACGGCGCAAUCAAAUUUUUGACCGACUCAAAUUAAAUAAAUUAAAAAAUUGAAUAGAAAAAUUAAAAUUUUAAAAAGUUGGAUAGCCAAUUCAAAAAUGUUCAUAGGUGAGAUAAAUUUUGUAUUUUUUCUACCUUUAUUUUCUUAGCUUCUAUUAUUAAGCUUCAAUAACCACUAUACCCUUUUUUUUUUCACUUAAAUUUACGACAUCAAAUAAGGCAUUAAAUUUGGCAUACCAUUACUAUUUUAUAAUAUUCACAGCGUUACAACAAUUGAGAAAGGACAAAAAAAAUUUGUAAUAGACGUGUUAUUGAUAAUUUUUUAUAGUGUAGAGAUAGGAUUUAAGCAAUUCUCGAACGGUAAUAUGCAAAAUCAAAUAUUAAGCAAUGCUUUUUGACGGAAGGUUCUACAUGUGCAUCACAUUACAGGAACAUCAAUACCUUAAAAAAAAUUAUCAAUAACACGCAGUUAGGGCCUGUUCGCACCGUCAAAAAAGAAGAAGAAAAAAUAAUCGCCAUUUGAGAAACAUUGUAAUAGGAUAUAAUUAAAAUUUUUUGAAAACGAUUUGUUUAGUACGUGUUUGGUUCGCGUUAUAUGAUAUUACAGGUUAUUUCGAUAUAUCCAAAUAUCUUAAAUUUCUGAAUGAGAUUACUACCGAUACUGUAUUAACACGUUUGAUUUAAUAUAACAAUGUAAUAUUGAAUUGUAGUGCAUAUAGCAUUAUUAUAUAAAGAGACAGAUGCGCCAUUAUUAUGUAUAUAGCAUUAUUAUGCUGCAUUAGGGUAAACUAAAAAAAGUUCACUUUUAGCUAUGUAAAAAGAGAAGCACUCUUAUAGCUAUGUAAAGAGUACUUUAUAAAUGACGUAAUGUUGCACUAGGAUGCAUCAAUUGUAAGGUCAAUUAUAAAUAAAAAUUUAUUAUUUAUGAGUUCCCAAACAGGCUCUUAAAAUUUAAAUAAUGCAUGGAAAAGAAGACUCUAUCAUAAGAGUAAGGGCUGAUGCUCAUUGUUGGUCACCAGUUUAUUUCAACUCCUGGAAAAGUCAACUUAAAUACUACAGUUAAUAUGAUAAUUAAUUUAAUAUAUGAUCAAAACCUAAGAUUUGGAGUAGAUUUAUCCUAAAGCUCAAAUGAUUCCUAGCUCUGAUUAGGCUUCUUAAAAUUACUAUGCCUAAUUAUAGUGAACUGAUAAGAACUUAUCAGAACUUUUCUCUACAACCUGAUGAAUCUAUUUUUCUCCAACUCAUAAACUAAGCUUUCUUCAGCAAUCCCAUGAGCAGUAUCCCAUCCAUGUUAAUUUGAACACUGUUGAUGGUCAUUUCUGAAUCAAAAGAUUUGACUUUGGCUAGGCCAACUAAUGUUUCCUAUCUACCAUUCAGGAUGUUACUUAAUCAAGCCAGAUAAGUAACCUUCUUUUAAAGGUAAACAUACAAACAUAGUUAUUCGCUAAAUACAACAACAAUUGCUCUGUGGCCUAGUUUGUACAUCCUCAAGAAGUUAGAUUUUAAAAGCACAGUCAGUGAUGCAUCUCAAGAAACAAAGACAUGCAGAACAGACAUACAAUGUGAAUCUACUAAAUCAUAAAGUUAAACUGUUUACUACUAAAUCAAACCAACUACACAAACUCUUCAAAACUAUUCAUCUGUAUCCAAAGAUAUGGCCUCCUUAUUAUCAAACACUUCAGGCAUAGUUUGAUUGCGACGAACCAUAAGAUAAUGAACCAUGCCCUUUAAGUCUUCAAGUACAAGUUAAUGUAAAUACCUAACUAUUUGCAUCAUAGUAUCUGAAAACCCAGAUAUUCCCAUAAAUGAAGCCUAAUAGAAAGUCAAAUACAAUCAACUGACCGUACCUAGCGUAGUUGGCUAAAGAUUUGAUGGUUGGUACCCGAGGUCCCAAGUUUGAAGCCUAGUUGCUUCACAUUUCUAACUGAAUUCAUUUAAAAAAAUAAUAAGCAAAGCGAGUAGUAUGCUACUUUUCUCUCUCUCAAAAAAAGUUAAAUACAAUUUGGUAGACGCUGAAUCAUUGAGAUCUGCAAAGUUGUUCUCAAGAAACAGUAAUUCAAAGUUAAUGUCAUGUCACGCAUUGAAGUUCCAAUGUAGUGAAGUAGAUGCCUUCGCUUUGAAGGAGGCUUUCUUCUAGAAGUAGACAUUUAUAAACGAGAUGACCAAGUAAUGGAAACAUACGGAAAGAAAAUACUAGAUACUAGUUAGGAUGCACUAUAUAACAUACAAUAUAUCAAAUUUUGAAUGCUAAGAUGCUACUGUUAGAUAGCAAUCCUCCUCCUACUGCAAUUUUCUCAUCUAUUAUUGUCUAGGACUUUUAGUCCCCUAGUUAUCCAUGAUGUAAGAACUUAAGUUGGACCAGAAAAGUAGAACAAUGCUACAACUAAAUGACCAAAGCUUUCCUUGAUAACAAACUCAUUCCACACAGUAGGAGGACAUUCAGAAGUAUAACCAAAUAAAUAAACCAGUGUUGCUACAAACCAAAAUAUUGCUUCCAAUAUGUCUAUAUUGCCACAACCAAAUUGGACAAAUCAGAAACGCGUCUCUCAAAUCAACAACAAAACUGAUAGAAAUCACCCAAUAACAAUGGCUCCCUAUAAGAAAGUAAAGUAAUGCUCAUCAUGCCGACAAUAUAACUUAUCCAAGCCACCCCAAAAAAAAGCUUAAUUACACAGUACUACAUUGAACUUUAUUGGCGUUUUCACUUUCUGCAUUGUACUUCAUCUUUUGCCAAACUCUCCAUUGAACUUUAGGUUCUACACUUCAUUAAUGAAUGAUAGAAUUUUAAACAAAAUUGAGCAUUUUUAUUACUUACAGUUUUGCCAAUCCCCUGUAGACCAAAGAAACAAUAACAAUAAUACUAAUAAUAUAGACACUUAAGGUGUUUGAUUGAGGAAAGUUGAAGGAAAACAACAGGUUUGAAAUGCAUACUUUUCUUGGCGAGUAACAAUCUCUUCCAAAAUUUGCCACCAAGAUUGAUCAUAAGAGAUAAAAAUCUCAUACGUCUCUCAAUCAAACUAAGAUUUUUAUAAACUUUUCCACCAAGAGGCGAUUAGCCGACUACGAAAGAGCAUAUUUGUUAUUUACGAGAAAAAUUAAUAAAUCAAGUAUGCAGCCAUAUCCAGCCCUUUGUUUGCAGAGUGUAGGGAUUAUUGUAGAACCAAACUUUAAUGAAGAAAUUCAGCAAAAAUUAAAGUAGAGAGUAGAAGAGGAAAACACCUCAAAAGAGAAUACCCAAAAUUAUUCUGAAACUGCAAAUUUACGCGCCCAUAAAUCGAUCAACCACAAAGUUGAUCGUCGUCAACCCACUUCCAGUAAUGCCGCCGAACUGCGACCGCAUUCUCCGAUUCCUCGACCCCUUCCCCUGUCUCCUCGGUCUCGAAUUCCCCCUCUUUCGGCAAACCAUCCACGGCGACCGCCUCCACCGUGUGGAGCACGUACCGCGCCCUCAGCCCUGGGUACGACAAUGACUCCCUCUCCUCCACCCUCGUCUCGCACUGCCCCUCCGCCACCCGCACCACCGCCCCCUCCCCCAGCUCCUCCCUCACGGCGCGCGCCGCCGCCUCCUCCGGCGACUCCCCGGGUCUCAUCUUCUCCGAGAGCGGGCGACGCCGCUCGCGGACGGAGCCGUCGGAGAGGAGCUGGCGCGUCUCGACGAGGAUCGCGCCGCCCGGGUUCCGGAUCCUGACGGCGACGACGCGGACGGUGCGAACGGGGGCCGGGGGGUGGGGGUGGGGGAGGGGGGGAGAGAAGGGAGACUCGCCUGACGCGAGCUCGAGCAAGAGUUAGAGGUCUGGUGCCGGAACGAACGCCCCAAGCGAAGGCGCCGGAGGGAGGCGCGGGCGGGGUAGGCGAUGAGGGAGUCCGGGUUGGAAGAGAGAGCGGCGGAGGGCUCCGCCGCCGCAUCGGGCGGCGGAGCGAGUAAAGCUGCGGCGGCGGCGGAGGAGAGCGCACGAAGGAGAGCGAGAGAGGUGGUGUGCGGAGAAGGAGGAGGAGAACGGAGGAGGAGGACAGGAGAGGUUUGAAGGAGGAGGAAGAGGAAGGAGUAGGGAGGAAGGCGAAGAGGAGAGGAGGGUGAGGAAGAGGAAGCGAAUAGGAAGCGGCGGUGGGGGGAGGAGAGAGGCGGCGGAGAGAAAGGUCGGGAGCAUUAGGGCACGGCGACGGCGGCGGCGGCGGCGGCGGCGGAGAAGGAGGGGGAGAGGGAGGGUGCUUUAAGAUUCGGGAUGGCCAUGACGCGGAGAAGAUGCGAUUGGAUUGGUGGUGAUCGGCGAAUAGGAAUUGUAAUAGGAGGAGGAGUUCAUGGACCGGGUUAAUGGCGGAAUAGUAGACGUGGAUAUUCCAACACGUGGAAUCUUGCAUUUUAGCACGAUUUAACCGGACCGGACCGGCCUAGCCCGGGCCGGUUCGGUCCGAAUCCGGAAGUUUAGGAAUGCAGAAAAAUUGCAUUACGUGCGGUGAGAAAGUGCAAUUGGAAGAUAUUCUAUUUAUUUCCAUACGUAUUAUUACGUUCUGUAUAUCGCAAUGAAUUCGUUACAAUACGUUUUCUACGAUUUCACCAAAAAACGCAGAAGCAUAUUUUUAUAUGUUUUUACUUCAACUCUAUUUUAUUUAUUAAUCGCAUCAGAUGGACGUCAAUACUAAACUAAGCCUAAGAUAGCAAUGCUUUCGCUUAUUCAUUUUUUUAAUCUGUGAAUUAAAUUGCUAAUGAAUCUGUUUCAUUCGUUGAGCACUGCUUCUAUAUUAAACAUUGUUAUAAUAAAUAUUCAAAUGGUAAAUCAAACGGGCCAUAAGUAUCAAUUUUUAAACACUAUUUAAUCAAACGACACUACAACAUUUCAUAACAAGGCCAACGGGUCGGGUAGGCAUGCAGAAAUUGUUAGCAUCUGCAUUAUUAGUAUCCGUUUCCGCUUGUCCGUAUCCGCAUUCACAUCCGCAUCCGCAUCAGAAUCGGAUCCGGAUCCGGAUCCGGAUCCGAAGAGAAAACCAAUCCGACCCUCUUUAAGGCCCAAAUCUCUUUCUCCUCCCUCGUGCGGCCCCAUUCCCCACCCUUACUCCGCAUCUCGCUCGAGCUACUGCGCCCCUCCCGUGGUCGCGAGGUGAAUCUCCAAAUUUUUUUUUCGCGUUCACGGUUCCCAUUUCUAGGGUUUCCUUUUUUUUUUUUUUUUGCUUUGUGUUUUUUUAAUUGAUUCGAUUAGUAAUCCUUUUGCGUCCGUGUUUCUGAAUUCGAAUCCUAUAUAAGCAGGUAAAAUUAACAAAAAAAAAAUUGAAAAAAAGAUCUCAGGUAUUUUACUUGUAGAUUUUGUAGAUCUGAAACGGAUGAGAUCAGUAAGGUUUUUGUCUCUUCGCUGCUAAUUAUGAUUGGACGAAUAGGCCAAAUUAUUAUUAUCGAUUAAUUUGCAAUUUAUGCUAUGGCUUGUAUAGGAUUGAACACUAAAUAAUGACCAAUGUGUUAAAGAAUGUGAAAUAACCGUUGAUCUUCGAAUUCUUAAGCUUCCAGAUAAUGGUGUUUUUAAAUUAUGUUCAACAAAAUAUUCUGUUAAUUGCUACAUGUCUAAAGGAAGACGAUCGCAUUAGAAAUUGGAAAACUUCUUGAUUUUCCGGUACUAAUUGAAGAAAAUAAUGUAGUGGUUUUGUUCUUAUCUCUGUUAUUAUUAUCCUUUUAUCCGAAAAUUAUCUGAACAGAACAACAGCGAAUUAAGCUUGUCUGACGAUUCUGGGCUACUUUUGAAUAACAAUAGCAGGAGAAAGAGCUACUUUGUGAUUAUUUGUAGCCCAUUUCAUUGAUUGUCGCAGCUACUUGAAACAUUAUGUGGAAAUUCUGGUUGAGUAGAGCUGUUUAAAGAAACACUAAUGGCUUUUGUCAAUAUAAAUUCCACUCAUCAGCAACAUUUGUGACUACUAGAGCAACUGAAUAUUGCUAGAGUUGCUGAAGUAUAUGAGUAGACUACGAAAUUAAACAAGAUAUUCUAUAAUCAAUAAUUUUCAAGCCCUAGAUUAGGGCAUGGAACAAUAGAUUUGUUGUUGAAGAAAUAAUGAAAUAUAUAAUAGAAGAUGGUAAUUUAAACUGAUUCGAAGAAAAUCGUCUGAUCAUUUUUGAGAAAAAAUGUUUAGUUUAACUCAAGUCUUUUUUUAGCUGAUUUGUAAUGUACAUCUCUUAAUUCAUAUAUAUAUAUAAUAAGAAUGAGUUCUGAGUUAGCUAGUUAGGUUUUUUGCUAUAUUAUGGAAUGUUGAUGUAGACGAGAAGUCAUUUUUCUUCCAUCAUUUUCAUUUUUUCUCCUUUAAUCUGUUUUUUUUGGUCCUUUGUUUGAGCAUCAACAAUGGAAUUGCUUUCUUCCUUCUUAAUUAUCUUAUUUUAUAUGUCCCUCUCUUUAAGCCUGUGUCUUCUAAUGAAAUAGUUUAAUGAUAUUAUUUAAGUUAUUCACAUUAAGACAACAAGUUUCUCUAUUAGAUUGUGCUCUGCGAAAAUUUCCUUUAAAAUCCCCACCGUCGAACAAAGUCAUGCUUUCGUUUCUUUUUCUUCCACCCAAACUUUUGAACAUAGUCAGAAACCUGUCCAUAAUUUUCUUGUGAAUAACAUAAUGUUUCUGUUCUGGUUGGCCUCAAUGGUUAAGUUCUCGUACUUGCUUUGAGGACGGCUAGAACUAUGAACCAUUUGUGGUUAUAUAGUUUUACAGCUUCCUUCCUCAGUCUUUUCGAUCCGGAAUUUUGCUAAUUAUUGAAACAAAUGGGUUAAAUAGGUGGGAGGAAAAGCUAUUGAGUGAUUUGCAUAGCCAAAAGGAAGAUGGGGGGAGAAAGGAAGCUAGAAGUGGGCAGAGAGAGAGGGAGGGAGGGAAGGAGGGAGUAGGGGAGGAGGGGGUGGGGUGGGGGGUUUGGGGUAGGGGUUUGGCGAGAGAACAUAUCACAGACUCUUAUGCUCUCCCAUUCAAUGUUCUAAUUUCUAAAGCAGGAAAUAUUAUGCAGGCUGUAAAGCUAUUGCAGAAUACUGUUCCUUUGGUGCAUAUCUGUUCAUGUAAGGUAUGUAGAAGAAAGCAAUAAGAGUCUGCAGUAGAUUAAAAAGGAACUGUAUUAAAGAACCAAGAAGAAAGCCAAGAACUAUAGAAUUUCUAAAGACCUACUUACAUUCAUUAUAAGAGCAUUGUAGAUAGUGACAAUAUUAUCAAACUUCUAUGUUUAGUAUGUGCAAGAAUAUUAUAUGAAAUAAUGAAUAGUCACAUAGAAACUUCAGAUCUACAUAAUUUGAUGUCCAAGUGUUCACGUAGCUAGCUGCCUACAUCUCAUGCUUAAUGCACUUAUCAGUCUAUUAUGCAUGAGAGUAGAUGAUUCGCUCUGGUGUUAAUUGCAUGGCACCUGUGCACUUUUUUUUUUAAAGACACCAUUGUAUUGUUGUAUUUUAUCGAUCUCUACACUGUAUUUUAGAUUUUUUUUUUAUUUUUCUACCUUAUGAUAUUUUCUUUUCUCAUGGAUAUCACUAAACUAUAUUUUUCUCGCCAAUUUUUGCAUUACUGGUAACAAAUCUAUUGUUGUAGAUAAAAUCUAACAACUUUAUUAAGAGACAUUGGUUAAAUAGUAGAAAAAAAUAUAAAAUAAAUCUUCAUGAUAGACUCAUUAAAAAUUUCUAUCAAGUUAUUUUUUAUACUUUUUGUUAUUUUAUGUAUUUUGUUAUUUUUAAUGUCAAAAUGAGUUGAAUAUAUGUCCUGCCGCUUUUAACUACUAUUUGAACAGCUUUUACCUAUGUUAAAUUAUAAGGUUAUUGCUUAUAGUGUUGACAUUAAAAAAAAAAAGAAUAGUUAAGUGAUGUUUUUGAAAAAAAUAAAAUAGUAUAGUGUGGGAAGUGAGGAAAAAAAAAAAGCCUGUAUUGUGUAGUGUAGUGUAAUUAUGCCUUUUUAUACAUCUGUUUUGCAAACCAUCUUCAUGAGAAUGUGCAAAUUUUGUUGAAGAAGAAUUAUUUCAUUUUCUAGAGAGCAGUUAUAUCCAAAACCGGACAACUAAAGCAUUUCCUUGUUCCUCAUUCAACUUUUGCACAAUUCAUUAUCUAUCAUCUAAUGCAGAUGGUCAUGUAUUUGUCUUGGUAUCAGCGUUUUAAAUUUUUAGACCAUUAAUUCUUCUUCUUUUCGCUCUUCUUAAUAAAGUUUUUCACCUUUGUUCACAAAAAUCAGUUGUUGCCAUACUAAAUAUGAGCAGUCCUUCAAGCUGCCUGUCAAAAGCUGUUCAUAUGUCUAAUGCUACCAAUAUUAGUCCUAAGCUUGUGAAUAAAUAAUUAUUAUUCUCCUGAAAUAAUUAUUUAUUCUCCUGCAAUCUGUUUGAGUCAUCACUAACUCAGACUACUAUAAUGGACUGCUUUUCUGCAAAUAUAUCUCCCUUGAAAGUUAUUCUAUCCGAAGUAGAUCACCAAUUCACCAUGCUCAUAAAGGUUACUCAUAAAGGUUACACAAAUUAUGUGAUUCUUUGUAUUACUUCUUGUGAUUUUAGAUUCAGGUUUUGUCAUGGGGGAUUCCUACACUGUCCAGUUAAGCACGGAGUUGAUCAACCAACUAGCAGGCGAUGGGCCUAAGCCAAAAAGGAAAGUCAAGAAACCCAAGCCGAAGACCAGGAAUGAACGUGAGCCGCCCCAAAUUAAGAAAAACCAAAUCCCAACUGCACAGCCGAACAGCUCCACAGGGAGCAUUUGGUCACCACGGCAGCCUCCUCCUCCUCCUCCCAUGUACUUACCAAUAACCCCUCCUCCUCACCCGCCCCCAUCUUCAAUACCAGAGGUGGAAGCUAUCCGCGCAGUGUGUAGAGAGAGUGAGAAGGUCGUCGAGAAGCUGGAGAGGAAGGAGAGCGACAUGCUUCAAGAGCUCAAUCAAAGGGCGAAGGAGCUUCGAGAUAAGGAGUUCAAGCUGCCCUAUCAGAAUCCCAUGCUGUGUACAGCCGAGAGAGAGGAUUGCCUCCGCUGCUACAAGGAGAACCCAAAUGAGCCGCUCAAGUGUUCACAUGCGGUGAAAAAAUUCGCUGAUUGUGCCCGCCAGGCAAGACAGAACAGGAAUGUGGCGGCAAGUUAAUCAAUAGGAUCUGAGAUGGGAAUUGAAGCUUACACCGUUAACUUUGUUUGAUUGAGAAUUUAUCAAAUAACUAGAGUUUUGAUGAACCUCGCCAUCAUUUUGCGGAUGUAGUUAGGCUCUUGUAUGAUUUGGUUGUUUUCACAGAUUCACUAUUUGAGGGUCCCACUGUGUGGGACUAAACACGAUUGUUUCAGAUGCAUAUCAUGUUUUUUUUUUUUUUUGGGUCCCUGUUAAAUGCGUAUAUUCAAAUCAAAGCUUAUGAAUGGCAAUGUUUGUUUUACUUCAGAACGCCAAUAAACCUGAACUAAAUUGGUUAAAGCUGGGAUAUAUCAGUAUCAAGCAUCCAAUGCUUGCAAUUUAGUGAUGUAUUGGACUAAAAUCGUCAUUCACUUGGUCUAACUGCUGUGCUUUUUCAGAUGGCCGAAGGCAUGUAUGUAGAAAGUCUUUUGCCGUUUUUAAAAGCUGUAAAUUUGCUUCGUCGUUCUGCUGUAAACAGCAGAGUUCCAUUAUCUGAUAUAAACAUUGCAGCUUGUGGAAAAUGUAUCACCCCUGGUUUACACUGUAAUUGAAUUCCAAUAGUUUUACUUUUGACAACCAGUGAAAAAAUCAGUGUUUUGAGGUGUACGGGAGGCAAAGUCAUGCCGCACAAUUCAAAACAGCGCAUAAUUCUGAAAAAUUAGUGCUAGUUUGUUUCUAAAAAGAGUAGUAUUUUGUGACGCAUAAUCAUUGUUUUGAGAUUUUUUUUUCUGAGAAAUUAGUGCUAGUUUGUUUCUGAAUAGAGUCGUAUGUUGUGACGCAUAAUUAUUGUUUUGAGGUUUUUCUUUGUAAAAAAUUGGCGCUAGUUUGUUUCUGAAAAGAGUAGUAUGUUAACCGAAAACAUUGGCUUUAGAGGAACAACUCAUUCUGCAUCGAUUCAAAACAACGCAUGCACUCGCCCUUGCCUGCAUAAUUUGUAAAACUGUGUAUGGUUGGGAAAUAGGGUGGUGCAGUUAACGACAUUCCCAGUAACUCCAGAACACAGUGAGGUGUUAAUCAUUUCCAUUUGAAGCUGGAUGGAAGAUGAUAUCCCCAUAGCUUACCCAUCCUCUAAAAUAGCAAUUAUGGAAUGGUGCUAUCCCUAACCAAACUACCCCUAACCAAGCACAGGCAAAAAAGCUGGAUAACAGAGUAGGGUAAGUGGUGAAUAUUCUCACUCUCCCACCAAGCACAAAAAGGAUUUGGAAAAAAUCCCCAUUGAAAUUUGACAACCAAGGAUAGCAAUUUUCUGGGGUAAAGUGGAAUAUAUUCUCAGUGACCUCAACCAAGUAUAUUUAAGUAUAAAUUCUCAUUCAAAUGAAAUUCUCAGUGCCUUUUGCAGCUCAAGUAAGUGUUGCAAUGGAUUAGAAAACCUCAAGACAAGUUUUCAAGUUGUGUGUUUAAUCUUGUUGGUACUUGAACUGGAAUACACUGGCACUUGAAUCAGCACAAAAUAUACAGGCUCUGAAAAUAGCUUCAGCAAAAGGUCAAGCAAGUCAGAUUACCUAAAUUUCAUCAAGGUAUCAGAAAGAAAGGGAUGUUUGUAACUAAUCAAGCAAGCGAAUAAAGAAAUGAGAGGCCGGAAUAGCUUAAUCUGAUAUAACAUUCGAUAAGGUAUUAUACAAGAUGGUAUAAACAGUGUGUGUGUAAACAACAGUUCGAGGUAGGUGAUGUAUAUUGAUGCACUUUCUAGUCACUCUCUGCUUCGACUUCUGUGAUGGUGACGUCGAUGAUGGCGAUGGUGAUGACGAUGCUUGGAUUUCUUCUCUUUCCUCUUCGUUUUUUCGGAACUUUUCGCCUUCUUCCUCUCAUCUUUGGAUUUGUGCCUCUUUGGAUGAGACGCAUCAUCCGCCAUAUCUGACAUAUCGGACGGCUCUUCGGUAGACUCGGAUUUUACGAAAGCUGGCUUUUCUGGACCUAAGACCCGACGCUCCCACUCUUCUUUCACCCGCACUUCAGGAGGCGGUGAGAGAUCAUUGUUAUGGUUUGAUAAUGAGGCAACGUAUGGACCAGUUUCGUCCAUUCUUGAACCUAUCGCCCCUCUUCCUCGCUUAGCCCUGAAAUUCAGAGAAAGAAUUAGCCGUCGCCGAAAAAGCAAAAUGAAAUACACCUAAAACUUGUAAUAAGAUUAUUAUUUAUUUUUCCCAUCCAGGAGUGAAGAACUUCUGGUCCAAAAGAGUUGUUAGUAUUAAGCAGCAGAUAAAUUGCCUCGAGCAAACAAAAGAAUAUCAGCAAUUUGGAAAAACCCUACGAACAAUCACGUAACUUCAACUUUUUUUGGGGGGGGUUGCGGGGGGGUGGGGGGAGGAAUUCCCACUUUUUCCCUUUUUAAGAAAUGUACACUUUUUUCUUCACUUGUGCAGAUUGAUCCCACUAUUCAUUUUAGGAACAUGCUGCCCCUUGACGGUAAGCACAAAGAUGGAAGUCGUGAAUAAACGAUUCAUCGGCUAAAUAACGCAACCGUAGUUCUUGUCAAAAUGUGGAGGGGCAGCUUGGUCCUAAAAGUUGAAAAGUGGGUUUAAAUAACAAUAAAGGUGUCCCCUUUUUUUUUUUUGCAAAAAGCCAGGGAAAAGUGGAAUUUGUUUUUGCCCAAGAAGACCUUCCAAAACUAUCAGAAUAAUAACACAUAAACUUACCUUGACUGAAGAAAAGCUUCAAUAUCUUCAUCCCUUAAACCAGCAUCCUCAUCUGAGUAGCCAUUCCCAGGAUCCAAUUUGCUUGAUGAGCAAGAGGAGGCAGAAUUUCUUCUUUUUUGUCCAACCCUCGAACUCGAACUUCGGUGCAAUGAAUCACUACGGCGCUUCUCGCCCCUGGAUAUGCUUCUAUCUUUAUGACUGUCUUUAAGCUUCCCUUCCAAUUCCAGCUCCUUCUCUCUGGCACGCCACAUUUCGCCAACCUCAACAGCUCGAUUUGCUGCAAGAAACCAAGAAAAUUCAGUUAGAUCAACAAAAAGAGAACCAAAGAAUCAGGAAACAGUAAUACAUUGCCUUGGAACACACACACACACACACAUAUAUACAUAGAGAGAGAGAGAACGAGGCUACUAUACUAUUUAUAGUACCGAAGCUCCAGUACUAUAGUUUCGUUUUCAAUCUUAGGAUAUUCAAAUCAACAAUCCAUACCAUUAAAUAUAAAAUAGGGUAUAUGAAAUUUUUAGGAAUAAAUUUUUAUUUUUAUUUUUUUCAACAUUGUUUACUUAGUAAGUAAAUCAUAUCAAAAUGAACGGCAAAAGUUGAACAAUCUUUAAAAUUUGAGGAUAAGACUUUUGAAUUCAAGAUCAAGGAUGCUGACCUUGAUCUAGAUAGUUUAAAAUAUUUUCUAUUAAAAUUUGAAUAAAUGUAGAUUCUUCUACACUGUUAAACUACAAACUCGCCAUACUAGCCAUUGAAAACUAACAAUUUUGAAAUGGUUUGAUCAUAAAGUAAACUAUGUCGAAAAAAUAUGAAAUUUUAUUCCUAAAAACUUCAAAUGCCCUAGAUCAGUUUUAACAGUAUGGAUCGUUGAUUUGAACAUUCUAAGGUUUUCAACCUUAGAAUAUCUAUAAUAUCUAUAGUACCAGGGCUCCGAUACUAUAGUAUCGUUUUCAACCUUGGAAUGUUCAAAUCAACGAUCCACACCAUUAAAACUGAUCUAAAGCAUUUGAAGUUUUUAGAAAUAAAAUUUCAUAUUUUUUCGACAUAGUUUACUUUAUGAUCAAACCAUUUCAAAAUUGUCAGUUUUCAAUGGCUAGUACAGCGAGUUUGUAGUUUAACGGUGUAGAAGAAUCUACAUUUAUUCAAAUUUUAAUAGAAAAUAUUUCAAACUAUCUAGAUCAAGGUCAGCAUUCUUGAUCUUGAAUUCAAAAGUUCUAUCAUCAAAUUUUAAAGAUUGUUCAAUUUCAACCGUUCAUUUUGAUAUGAUUUACUUACUAAGUAAACGAUGUCGAAAAAGAAUAAAAUUUUAUUCCUAAGAACUUCAUAUACCCUAGAUCAUAUUUAACGGUGUGGAUCGUUGAUUUGAACAUUUUAAGAUCGAAAACGAAACUAUAGUACCGGAGCUCUGGUAAUGUAGAUAGUAUAGUAGCCUAAUUCUAUAUAUAUAUAUAUAUAUAUAUAUAUAUAUACAUGUGUGUGUGUGUGUGUUAAAACCAUUUCCUAGAGAGGUUGAUUAUGAGAGAUUGAUGCAUUGGACUUGAAAGUCUCACUGCUUCACAAUCAAAUCAGUUGUUUCAAAGGGUGAGAUCAGAAUUAGAGAAAGAUGCUCAACAGAAGGCCUUUUUUCCCUUCUUAAUCUAAUAAAAGCAUCAGGUACAGGUAAAGAUAUUUUUUACACAAACAUUAGACAAUAUUUUUCCGAAAUCACUAAAGCAAACAACAUUCCGGUCUAAAUCAUCUUACACUAUCACAACAUAGAUAAUUUUAACUCUAAAUAUGAGAUUUAAAACUGUUCACCCUUAAGAUACUCCUUAUCAAUAGUAAGCCUAUAGUCACCCACAACGAAAACUAUAUUGGCCUUAGUUUUCUGAUUUUUCCUUCAUUCCCAAUCUAUACAUCACAAAGGAAAAACUUUGUCUUACAGGACGAAACCGGGGGAGCAAAAUGAUUAGCCACAUGAACCAGCUCAACAAUCUCACAAUAGCCAAUUCGGGUUUUUCAUUCCCCUUUAUAUGCCUCUGUCUAUUCAAUAACCUGUUCUAAAUCAAGUCAUGUUUAUCUACCAAUCAAACCAACUUAAAGUGAGCCCUUCUUUUACAAAUGUUAGUAUAAAUGGAAACUAAUUUUGAUGUUAGGCACUCAGGAAAGAAUCCUCUCGAGACAAAAGCCCAGCUAAAUCAGAACCUGUUAGUUUUAAAAAAUAAGAGCGAAAAAACUGCAACUAACCUUGCUGCACUCCGAGUACCGUGGCGGUGAGAAAGCGUGAAUUUGGGCGUGCCCUAACAUUAGGCUGGCGUAGAUAAACAUGAACACCUUCUUGUUCAGCUUGUAGGCGCAAUCUCCUUGCCUCUUCCAUCAAUAAGGCAGCAAGACGAUUCUCUGUCUCUAAAUCCAUCGAUUGCCUGGCUAGUGUUACACCAAAAACCUAAGAUAUAUAUAUAAAAAAAACUAUUAUUACAGAGACUUACCAGACAAUCUUAAGCGCAUACCCAUCGAAAACACAUCACCAGGAAAACAAAUCAGUAUAUCAAGACUAUAUACAUAGUAAACUAUUUGGCGAAGAACAAGGGAAUGUUUUUUUGGAACUAAUCAAUGAUUAUUAAACCAAAACAAAUACAUAGCAUAGUAGCAAGAGCUACAAAUGUACAAGCGAGUGCUAGUUAAACUCUUGCAAAUCGCAAAAUAAGUUUACAGAUAAUUACUUACGAACACUUUAGCCGCGAUUUUGUUGCAAAUAAGCUUUUUGCUAUCGACUAGAUUGAGCUUAUCGCCGCAAGUCUUGUUGUUUAAUGCAAUUGAUUUCCUGAAUAGAUAUGACACUCAAGAAACACCUUUCUUAUAGUUCAACUGUUCAAUCACACCUAUUUACUGCAAAAAUUAGCCUCAAUUAUCCCAAAAAUAUGAGUCUUUUAUUAUUAUUAUUUUCAUAUAUUUAUCUCAUUGAGCUCAACAAAUCUAUAUAGACCAUACAUAAAUCGAUAAAUAAUUAAUGAUUUAGGCAUACAAUAAUCCUAUUCUUCCGAAAAGCUAUAAUUAAUGUUACGAACUAAUUCAUAUAACAUAAUUCUCACAAAAAACCACCAAAUUUCCCCAAUUGCUUCUCAGAUCUAUCAAUCAGGACGAAGAAAGAUCUCACCUUUCGACUAUUUUCCUACAGAUGAUUCGAAACAAGAACCCAAAAGAACCAAACCCUAGAGAAGGUGGGGAGGGCAAAGAAUCACGAAUCCGAGCGCGGAAACUUCGAGACCUACCUCAAUAUCGCCACCGCGCGAUGAGGAGCGAUGAGGAGGGGGGCGCCGGCGGCGAUCGGCGGCGCCCGUCGUAACCCUAGCGGCGGCGGCGGCGGCGGCGGAGAGGCGGCGCCGUACGACGAUGCGAAGGGACCGGAAUGGGGAAAAAGGGCGGAGGAGGAGGAGGAGCGAUUCACGGAGAGUUUGGUUUAAUGAGGGUUAAUGUGUAAAUAAAUAAAAUAAAUAAAAAAAAACAAAAACAAAAAAGAGUUGUAUCUUGUAUAUAAGGAGAGAGAUACACUUAAUAUUAAAUAAAAAGUCUAAUUUAGAAGUUUAUAUAAUCCACUAUACAUAGAUUUCGUAGUAUCCAUAAGAAAACAUAUGCAUUAAAUUUAUAAUUUGGUAAUAUCCAAUUUAUUUUUUAAAUGCCACAGAACCCGGUUCAUGCAACAAUUCCACGUACACAGAGCGUGAAGAUUCGAUGAACCGGAGUGGAAUUAGAUGGGGAAAAGACCCACAAUAUGGGCCGACAUAAUCUGGCCCAAGCCCAAGUUAUACCAAUUGCGUAGACCCGGUCCACCUGUUAGGGACCGUUUGAUUCCUCAGAAAAGUAUGAAAAAAAAAAAAUUUCAAGAAAUUUUUUUGGGUCAAUUGCAUAAGGUCCCUACAAACAUAAUGAAUUACAGAUAUAUUCCUGUAAAGUUUAAUUUUCAUAAGUUAUUCCUACAAAAAUUCUAAUGUUUUCAGAUAUGUCCCUGUCGUUAAAAUCCAUUAGAAAAGUUUAGUUAACCAUAGGUUAAAUGCUUUACCCGGAUUAAUUUUUGACAUUUUUACCCCUGUUAUAUUAUACUGUUAUAAUUUUUGGAGGGGCAUAUUUGUGAUGGCAAAAUUGAAAAUAUAAAAAUUUUUUAACGGUUCUCUAACGGUAACAAACUAGAGGGACAUAUCUGAAAACAUUAUGACUUUUGCAUGGAUAACUUAUGAAAGUUAAACUUUACAGAGAUAUAUUUGUAAUUCACUAUGUUUGCGGAGACCUAUAUGCAAUUAGCCCAAAUUUGUUUAUGGAGAACUUUUUUUUUAAUUUUUUUUGCCUGUUUUGUAAAAAAAAAGAGCCUUUUUAUUUUUUUUUAAAAGAUUUUAUGAAAAACUAGUAUUUUUAUUUUUCAUUAAAAAAUUUGAAGAACUUUUUCUAAGAAAUUUGAAAAAAUAUUUUCAAAAAAGCUAGUUCUCAUUGAAUCCAAAUAGACGAAAAACUAGAAAAAAUAUAAAUUUUCAUGAGCAUUUUUUUUUUUUUUUUUGGGAGAAAUGAAACAGGCGCUUAGGGGUUGUUUGAUUUUCUGCAAAAUAUCCUAGAAAAUAAUUUUGUGACUGAAACAUUAAUUAUUUUCCAUCUAUGUGGCUGCUAAGAAAAGUAACUUUCUGAAAAUAUUCUGGAUAAAAAUUUUUUAUCCAGAAUAUAAAAACUGUGGUUUCACUAAAACUUUUUUUUUUUUGGGAAAAGUAAUUUUUCACACUAUUUGGAAAACCCAAGCACCACAUAAGUCACUACACAAAUAAUAUGUGAAAAAUGUGUAGAGCUGUUACAAACUUUUUGUCACUUGAAAAAGCUAUCCAACUUUUAAAAAUUUUAAUUCUUAGGGCAAUUACUUAAAUAUUUCUGAAAAGUUUUUAACUUUCUUAUUUACCCAUUUAGAAGGUUAAUAUUAAAAAAAAAACGCCCUUUUAAGGUUGGAAAGUCUUUCAAAUAUAUCCUUUAUAAUUAAAUUAUAUUAGUGAACUAUUAGGAACGAUCGUUAUUCUUAUAAAAUUACUAUUUUGUGUUUUCAAAUAUACUUUUCUAUCAUAACCAACUUUUCUUAUUUUUUCUUAAAUCAAGACAAAAUAAGUAUUUUGAUUUUUUGCCUUUUCAAUAUACUCUUAUGCUGUCACCAAUUUUUCUUAUUCGUCCUUAAGUUAUGGACAAAAUAGAUAUUUUUAGUGUUUUUAACUAUAGUGGAAAUUUAACUUAGGUUUAAUUCCGGACACUAACAACAGAGGUAUGUUUGAAUAACAGAGAAAUAUAUGAGGAAUAUAUUUGAAACAAAAAAAAAAUAUAAUAUAUUUCAGAAAUUUUGAAGGGUAUAUAUAAGCAAUUAUCUCUUAAUUUUAUUAUGCCUUUUCGUAUAGUUUAAUU
rnacentral:lncRNA from 1 species